GUGGGGAAUAUUGCACAAUGGGCGCAAGCCUGAUGCAGCCAUGCCGCGUGUGUGAAGAAGGCCUUCGGGUUGUAAAGCACUUUCAGCGAGGAGGAAGGUGGUGAACUUAAUACGUUCAUCAAUUGACGUUACUCGCAGAAGAAGCACCGGCUAACUCCGUGCCAGCAGCCGCGGUAAUACGGAGGGUGCAAGCGUUAAUCGGAAUUACUGGGCGUAAAGCGCACGCAGGCGGUUUGUUAAGUCAGAUGUGAAAUCCCCGGGCUCAACCUGGGAACUGCAUUUGAAACUGGCAAGCUAGAGUCUCGUAGAGGGGGGUAGAAUUCCAGGUGUAGCGGUGAAAUGCGUAGAGAUCUGGAGGAAUACCGGUGGCGAAGGCGGCCCCCUGGACGAAGACUGACGCUCAGGUGCGAAAGCGUGGGGAGCAAACAGGAUUAGAAACCCUAGUAGUCC
rnacentral:rRNA from 1 species